rnacentral:piRNA from 1 species
UGACCUCUGCGACCCGUGUGAUGCCGUC